UUUCUCUCGGGAUUUGCCAAUGUACUCGGUACUGGUGUUGCUCCCGAGCCGCCUGAAACACAAAAGAAAGUCUGGACUGUGAAAGCUGCAGUGAGCAAAAGAGCCACAGUUGUCCGUGAGAGAGAAAGGGCAGUUCCAAGCAGACUCCAAGAUGUCGAUAUCCGGGAAUUUAAGGGUCGCUGCUACCCUCGCCUCUUACCAUCAACACCACCCUUUUCGAAGCUCCAUCCCCUCUUCAAAGAUUUGCUCAAUUCCGUGGUUGGUGCUGAAUAAGAUUUUAGUGUCUAUUUGAGGGUUAGAGUUGGUGAUGCUACUCUGAAUCGUUUGAAUUCCAAGUUUUUAGCUGCUGUUUUCCAACCAAAUGGAGAAUUAGCUAACUGGGUUUUCCCAGUUUUUGCAGCAGCAGCUGCAGCAACAUGUAGGUAAAAUGUUUUCUGGGUUUGAUUAUCUGUCCUUUUGUCUAAUUAUUUUAUGCUUUGUCCUUCUUGGGUUUGUAAGCUUCAAUUUUGUGUGCAGAUUGCUUUGCAAGUUUCUACUUUUUCUCGAAAAUUUGCACUUCAUCAAAGUCAAAUACCUAAAUGUUCUUGUUGGCCUUGUCUUCUUUCAAUCAAUGGUCAUGACCAUGGGUUGAUCUUGUUUCCGUC